GACAGAACUCAAGGUGGAAGUACCGGAGUACCUGGGGCCGCUGAUGUUUGUGAAACUGCGCAAACGUCACUUCCUUCAGGUUCUGCAGCUGGAUCUCCGUGUAGGGCCCCGGAGCCGGGGACGAGGUCAGGUUCCCUUGUUACCGCUGGGUGGAGGUCGACGGCGUCCUGAGCCUGCCUGAAGGCACCAGGGCGAGAAGAGGCGCUCACCAAAAGUCACUGGCCAAGCCCUCCUCUGGCCUUCUAGGCCGUACUGUGGGCGACGACCCUCGAGGCCUGUUCCAGAAACACCAGGAAGAGGAGCUGGAAGAGAGAAGGAAGUUGUACCGGUGAGCCCUCCUCCCCUGACCCCACGUGAGCUGCUGAUGCUUCCAGCACCCACGCCUGAUUUCCUUCCUGCCCUACAGAGCGCGUGCGGGACUCCUGGAAGGAAGAUGCCUUAUUUGGGUACCAGUUUCUUAAUGGCGCCAACCCCGUGGUGCUGAGGCGCUCUGCUCACCUUCCUGCUCGCCUAGUGUUCCCUCCAGGCAUGGAGGAACUGCAGGCCCAGCUGGAGAAGGAGCUGGAGGGAGGCACAUUGUUCGAAGCUGACUUCUCCCUGCUGGAUGGGAUCAAGGCCAACGUCAGUCUCUGUAGCCAGCAGCACCUGGCUGCCCCUCUGGUCAUGCUGAAACUGCAGCCUGAUGGGAAACUCUUGCCCAUGGUCAUCCAGCUCCAGCUGCCCAGCACAGGAUCCCCACCACCUCCCCUUUUCCUGCCCACGGAUCCCCCAGUGGUCUGGCUUCUGGCCCAAUGCUGGGUGCGCAGCUCUGACUUCCAGCUCCGUGAGCUGCAG
rnacentral:lncRNA from 1 species